GACAGAGGUGCCGAGCGUUAGGCGGAAUCACUGGGCUUAAAGCGUGUGUAGGCGGAGUUCUAAGUACCUUGUGAAAUCCCACGGCUCAACCGUGGAACUGCUUGGUAUACUGGUUCUCUUGAGCCACCUAGGGGCAACCGGAACAAACGGUGGAGCGGUGAAAUGCGUAGAUAUCGUUUGGAACGCCAAUGGUGAAAACAGGUUGCUGGGGGUGUGCUGACGCUGAGACACGAAAGCCAGGGGAGCGAACGGG
rnacentral:rRNA from 1 species